rnacentral:rRNA from 1 species
AGUGAACGCUGGCGGUAGGCCUAACACAUGCAAGUCGAACGGCAGCACAGUAAGAGCUUGCUCUUACGGGUGGCGAGUGGCGGACGGGUGAGGAAUACAUCGGAAUCUACUUUUUCGUGGGGGAUAACGUAGGGAAACUUACGCUAAUACCGCAUACGACCUACGGGUGAAAGCAGGGGAUCUUCGGACCUUGUGCGAUUGAAUGAGCCGAUGUCGGAUUAGCUAGUUGGCGGGGUAAAGGCCCACCAAGGCGACGAUCCGUAGCUGGUCUGAGAGGAUGAUCAGCCACACUGGAACUGAGACUCAGUCCAGACUCCUACGGGAGGCAGCAGUGGGGAAUAUUGGACAAUGGGCGCAAGCCUGAUCCAGCCAUACCGCGUGGGUGAAGAAGGCCUUCGGGUUGUAAAGCCCUUUUGUUGGGAAAGAAAAGCAGCAGGUUAAUACCCCGCUGUUCUGACGGUACCCAAAGAAUAAGCACCGGCUAACUUCGUG